UACGAAUUUUAAGCAUUUAAUCAAAUCUGGUUAUAAGUUGUUUGAACAAAAGAGAAUAGUGAUGGCUGAGGGAGUUGUGUCGUUUGGAGUGCAGAAACUCUGGGAGCUCUUGGGCCGAGAAUCUGAUCGACUGCAGGGAGUUCAUGAGAAAGUUGAUGAUCUAAAAUGUCAGAUGAGAAUGUUACAGUCGUUGUUGAAAGAUGCAGAUGCCAAGAAACAUGGGAGUGAAGUAGUGAGAAACUUCUUGGAAGAUGUCAAAGACAUUGUUUUUGAUGCUGAAGACAUAAUCGAAUCCUUUCUUUUGAAAGAACUCAGUGGAAACCAAAAAGGGGUCAAGGGGCGUGUGAAAAGACUUGCUUGUUUCUUAGUGGAUCGCCGAGGUCUUUCUAUGGACAUUGAAGGCAUAACUAAGAGAAUGGCCAAGGUUGUUGGGCAAAUGCAGAGCUUUGGAAUACAACAGAUCAUCUACAGAUCACCGUCUCUACAA